rnacentral:rRNA from 1 species
AUUGAACGCUGGCGGCAGGCCUAACACAUGCAAGUCGAGCGGAUGAGUGGAGCUUGCUCCAUGAUUCAGCGGCGGACGGGUGAGUAAUGCCUAGGAAUCUGCCUGGUAGUGGGGGGACAACGUUUCGAAAGGAACGCUAAUACCGCAUACGUCCUACGGGAGAAAGCAGGGGGACCUUCGGGCCUUGCGCUAUCAGAUGAGCCUAGGUCGGAUUAGCUAGUAGGUGAGGUAAUGGCUCACCUAGGCGACGAUCCGUAACUGGUCUGAGAGGAUGAUCAGUCACACUGGAACUGAGACACGGUCCAGACUCCUACGGGAGGCA